UGGGGAAUCUUGCGCAAUGGCCUGACGGCUGACGCAGCGACGCCGCGUGCGGGACGACGCCCCUCGGGGUGUAAACCGCUGUCGCCCGGGACGAAGGCCCGAUUCGGUCGGGCUUGACGGUACCGGGCGAGGAAGCACCGGCUAACUCCGUGCCAGCAGCCGCGGUAAUACGGAGGGUGCGAGCGUUGUCCGGAAUCACUGGGCGUAAAGGGCGCGUAGGCGGCUUACCAAGCGUGGGGUGAAAGUCCGGGGCUCAACCCCGGAUCGGCCUCGCGAACUGGUGGGCUGGAGCACUGUAGGGGCGGGUGGAAUUCCGGGUGUAGCGGUGGAAUGCGUAGAGAUCCGGAAGAACACCGGUGGCGAAGGCGGCCCGCUGGGCAGUGGCUGACGCUGAUGCGCGACAGCGUGGGGAGCAAACAG
rnacentral:rRNA from 1 species